rnacentral:rRNA from 1 species
AGAGUUUGAUCCUGGCUCAGGAUGAACGCUAGCGGCAGGCUUAACACAUGCAAGUCGAGGGGCAUCGGGAGGGAAGCUUGCUUUCCUUGCCGGCGACCGGCGCACGGGUGAGUAACACGUAUGCAACCUGCCCUCUUCAGGGGGACAACCUUCCGAAAGGGAGGCUAAUCCCGCGUAUAUCGGUUUCGGGCAUCCGAGAUCGAGGAAAGAUUCAUCGGAAGAGGAUGGGCAUGCGGCGCAUUAGCUAGACGGCGGGGUAACGGCCCACCGUGGCGACGAUGCGUAGGGGUUCUGAGAGGAAGGUCCCCCACACUGGUACUGAGACACGGACCAGACUCCUACGGGAGGCAGCAGUGAGGAAUAUUGGUCAAUGGGAGAGAUCCUGAACCAGCCAAGCCGCGUGAGGGAAGACGGCCCUAUGGGUUGUAAACCUCUUUUGUUGGAGAACAAAACCCGGGACGUGUCCCGGACUGCGUGUAUCCGAAGAAAAAGCAUCGGCUAACUCCGUGCCAGCAGCCGCGGUAAUACGGAGGAUGCGAGCGUUAUCCGGAUUUAUUGGGUUUAAAGGGUGCGUAGGCGGUCCGUUAAGUCAGCGGUAAAAUUGCGGGGCUCAACCCCGUCGAGCCGUUGAAACUGGCAGACUUGAGUUGGCGAGAAGUACGCGGAAUGCGCGGUGUAGCGGUGAAAUGCAUAGAUAUCGCGCAGAACUCCGAUUGCGAAGGCAGCGUACCGGCGCCAGACUGACGCUGAGGCACGAAAGCGUGGGGAUCGAACAGGAUUAGAUACCCUGGUAGUCCACGCAGUAAACGAUGAAUGCUGGUUGUCCGGGUCGAAUGAGAUCUGGGCGGCGAAGCGAAAGCGAUAAGCAUUCCACCUGGGGAGUACGCCGGCAACGGUGAAACUCAAAGGAAUUGACGGGGGCCCGCACAAGCGGAGGAACAUGUGGUUUAAUUCGAUGAUACGCGAGGAACCUUACCCGGGCUCAAACGGGAGUGGAAUGGAUCAGAGACGGUUCAGCCUACGGGCCGCUUCCGAGGUGCUGCAUGGUUGUCGUCAGCUCGUGCCGUGAGGUGUCGGCUUAAGUGCCAUAACGAGCGCAACCCCCGCCGGCAGUUGCUAACGGGCAAUGCCGAGGACUCUGCCGGGACUGCCGCCGCAAGGCGAGAGGAAGGCGGGGAUGACGUCAAAUCAGCACGGCCCUUACGUCCGGGGCGACACACGUGUUACAAUGGGCGGUACAGCGGGAAGCCAGGCGGCGACGCCGAGCGGAACCCGAAAGCCGUUCUCAGUUCGGAUCGGAGUCUGCAACCCGACUCCGUGAAGCUGGAUUCGCUAGUAAUCGCGCAUCAGCCAUGGCGCGGUGAAUACGUUCCCGGGCCUUGUACUCACCGCCCGUCAAG